GAUAGAAUCAAAUUCAUCCUGAACUAAAUGUAUGCAAGGUGCACUUCAAAGUGACUGGGAGAAUGUGUUUGAAGUUUUCAAAGAUGUUUCAAAGUCUUCAAUGGUUUUUACCACUUUCCUGGCAACCCAUUAUGACCCUGGGAGUGUUGAGAAACUACUAUGAACAGGAAUCGAAGAUAAAGUGUUUGUAGGUAGCAUUUUAAAACAGCUACAAUUUCAGUGCUGGAC
rnacentral:lncRNA from 1 species